GGGGUCAUGGCGACUUACCAAACCUUAGCAAACUCCGAAUACCGCAGAGUACAGCUUGGGAGACAGAGCACCGGGUGCUAACGUCCGGACUCAAGAGGGAAACAACCCAGACCGCCAGCUAAGGUCCCUAAAAUUGGCUAAGUGGGAAACGAAGUGGGAAGGCUAAAACAGUCAGGAUGUUGGCUUAGAAGCAGCCAUCAUUUAAAGAAAGCGUAAUAGCUCACUGAUCGAGUCGUCCUGCGCGGAAGAUGUAACGGGGCUAAGCCAGUUACCGAAGCUGCGGAUGCAUCGCAAGAUGCGUGGUAGGAGAGCGUUCUGUAAGCCUGUGAAGGUGGGUUGUGAAGCCUGCUGGAGGUAUCAGAAGUGCGAAUGCUGACAUGAGUAGCGUUAAAGGGGGUGAAAAGCCCCCUCGCCGAAAGCGCAAGGUUUCCUACGCAACGUUCAUCGGCGUAGGGUGAGUCGGCCCCUAAGGCGAGGCAGAGAUGCGUAGCUGAUGGGAAACAGGUCAAUAUUCCUGUACCGAUCAAUAGUGCGAUGUGGGGACGGAGAAGGUUAGCUCAGCCGGGUGUUGGAUGUCCCGGUUCAAGCCUGUAGUCGUGCCUGGUAGGCAAAUCCGCCGGGCUUAGAUGAGGGGUGAUAACGAGGAGGCUUGCCUCCGAAGUGAGUGAUACCCUGCUUCCAGGAAAAGCCACUAAGCUUCAGCUAUUGACGACCGUACCGCAAACCGACACUGGUGCGCGAGAUGAGUAUUCUAAGGCGCUUGAGAGAACUCUGGAGAAGGAACUCGGCAAAUUGACACCGUAACUUCGGAAGAAGGUGUGCCUUUAGUAGGUGUAGUUGUACAAACGAAGCCCAAUGAGGCCGCAGAGAAUCGGUGGCUGCAACUGUUUAUUAAAAACACAGCACUCUGCAAAGACGAAAGUCGACGUAUAGGGUGUGACUCCUGCCCGGUGCUGGAAGAUUAAAUGAUGGGGUGCAAGCUCUUGACUGAAGUCCCAGUAAACGGCGGCCGUAACUAUAACGGUCCUAAGGUAGCGAAAUUCCUUGUCGGGUAAGUUCCGACCUGCACGAAUGGAGUAAUGAUGGCCACACUGUCUCCUCCAGAGACUCAGCGAAGUUGAAAUGUUUGUGAUGAUGCAAUCUCCCCGCGGAAAGACGGAAAGACCCCAUGAACCUUUACUGUAGCUUUACAUUGGACUUUGAACAGAUCUGUGUAGGAUAGGUGGGAGGCUUUGAAGUAAGGUCGCUAGAUCUUAUGGAGCCGACGUUGAAAUACCACCCUGGUGUGUUUGAGGUUCUAACCUUGGCCCGUGAUCCGGGUUGGGGACAGUGUAUGGUGGGCAGUUUGACUGGGGCGGU
rnacentral:rRNA from 1 species